UAACGUGGAGCUGGCUAGGACAUCUGUCACCCCAUUACUCACGGGGAUUGAUUCACCUGAUCUGGCUGACGAGGCAGGUGUACCUUUCCUCUCCAACCACUCCUGGUACAUUCUUCCUCAAGCUGCUCACAUGGUCAAGGAGGACCCCAUCCCCACCCACUCUCGAGAGCGAAUAGAGGAAGGCCAAUGAGUGGAGUAACUGAGCUCCCCUGCUAGGACCUCCAAACAGGUUCUCAAAAAUUAGUAACACAAAUCACUUCAUUUAAUCACCUAGAUCCUGAAUUUCUAUGGAACCAGGAGGGGAUUAUUCAGAUUUUU
ensembl:misc_RNA Gm25902 predicted gene, 25902